UGAGGAAUAUUGGUCAAUGGCCGGGAGGCUGAACCAGCCAAGUCGCGUGAGGGAAGACGGCCCUACGGGUUGUAAACCUCUUUUGUCGGGGAGCAAAGGCGGUCACGCGUGACCGGAUGAGAGUACCCGAAGAAAAAGCAUCGGCUAACUCCGUGCCAGCAGCCGCGGUAAUACGGAGGAUGCGAGCGUUAUCCGGAUUUAUUGGGUUUAAAGGGUGCGCAGGCGGCACUGCAAGUCAGCGGUCAAAAUGCGGGGCUCAACCCCGUCGAGCCGUUGAAACUGCGGUGCUUGAGUGCGCGAGAAGUAUGCGGAAUGCGUGGUGUAGCGGUGAAAUGCAUAGAUAUCACGCAGAACUCCGAUUGCGAAGGCAGCAUACCGGCGCGCAACUGACGCUCAUGCACGAAAGCGUGGGUAUCGAACAGGAUUAGAUACC
rnacentral:rRNA from 1 species